rnacentral:rRNA from 1 species
GAUGGGCCUGCGGCUGAUUAGCUAGUUGGUGGGGUGACGGCCUACCAAGGCGACGAUCAGUAGCCGACCUGAGAGGGCGACCGGCCACACUGGGACUGAGACACGGCCCAGACUCCUACGGGAGGCAGCAGUGGGGAAUAUUGCGCAAUGGGCGAAAGCCUGACGCAGCGACGCCGCGUGGGUGAUGAAGGCCUUCGGGUUGUAAAGCCCUGUCGGGUGGAACGAAUCUCCAUCUCGCUAAUACCGAGGCGGAUUGACGGUACCACCGAAGGAAGCCCCGGCUAACUACGUGCCAGCAGCCGCGGUAAUACGUAGGGGGCGAGCGUUGUUCGGAUUUACUGGGCGUAAAGAGCGCGUAGGCGGUUCGGCAAGUCGGAGGUGAAAGCCCUUGGCUCAACCAAGGAUCCGCGUCCGAUACUACCGAGCUUGAGUGCAGGAGAGGAGAGCGGAAUUCCCAGUGUAGCGGUGAAAUGCGUAGAUAUUGGGAGGAACACCGGUGGCGAAGGCGGCUCUCUGGACUGCUACUGACGCUGAGGCGCGAAAGCUAGGGGAGCAAACGGGAUUAGAU